UGGGGAAUAUUGCACAAUGGGGGGAACCCUGAUGCAGCAACGCCGCGUGAAGGAAGAAGUAUUUCGGUAUGUAAACUUCUAUCGACAGGGAAGAAACAAAUGACGGUACCUGAAUAAGAAGCACCGGCUAAAUACGUGCCAGCAGCCGCGGUAAUACGUAUGGUGCAAGCGUUAUCCGGAUUUACUGGGUGUAAAGGGUGAGUAGGCGGUUAUGCAAGUCAUAUGUGAAAUUCUGGAGCUCAACUCCAGCGCUGCAUAAGAAACUGUGUAACUAGAGUACAGGAGAGGUAAGCGGAAUUCCUAGUGUAGCGGUGAAAUGCGUAGAUAUUAGGAAGAACACCGGUGGCGAAGGCGGCUUACUGGACUGAAACUGACGCUGAGUCACGAAAGCGUGGGGAGCGAACA
rnacentral:rRNA from 1 species